GAUGAACGCUGGCGGCGUGCUUAACACCUGCAAGUCGUACGACGUUCGUUCUAAGCUUGCUUCUAUUAAUCUUAGUGGCGAACGGGUGCGUAACACGUAAUCAACCUGCCCUUAAGUGGGGGACAUCACUUGGAAACCCCUGUUAAUACCGCAUACGAUCUAAUAUCGGCAUCAAGGUAUGAUGAAAGCUCCCCUCUACAUGUAAGCUAUUACUGCAGUAGCGGUUUGUGUCUGAUUAGUUAGUUCACGGGGUAACGGCUCACUAACGCGAUGAUCAGUAGCCGGACGGAGAGGAUGAACAGCAACAGUGAGACGGAGACACGGCCCAGACUCCUACGGGAGGCGGAAGUAGAGGAUCUGCCGCUAGGGACGUAAGGCUGACGGUGCAACGCCGCGGGAGAGAUGACGGCGGUCGGGUUGUGAAUCUCUGUUAAUCGGUACGAAAGGCGGCCUUGCGAGUAGUGAGAAGGGUUGACGGUACCGUAGUAGAAAGCCACGGCUAACUACGUG
rnacentral:rRNA from 1 species